ensembl:lncRNA
AUGGACAUUUUUUCAUUGUGUGAUUGCUAUUUUCAGGAAAAUGCACUGGUAACAACUAAAAAAGGAAGACCGCAAAAGUAUAAUUCAACAGAAGAUGAUGGCUGUGGUGAAACAAGCACUCAAAUAAUGGAACUAAGAGCUGUGGGAGUGCUGGAGAAAUCAAGAGAAACCAAGUCCUCUGUCUCCUCAGCCAUGUAAGAGAUCUCCAGACAUCAAGAGACUGAGGAGUUAAAUGAAAUCAAAGCGCUAAAAGAUUUAUAAUAUGUGCCAAUUCAGUUUGAAAACAGAGAGAGAGAGAGAGAGAGAGAGCCGAGGGAGUGGAAAGGUAAUGAAAUCUAGUUUUAUAAGCAAUUAUUCUCAAUGCUUAACAUCAGCUCUCAACAGGGUUUUUUUUUUUUGGUGCACUCUUUGAUUCUCUCUGAUUGACUGGAAGGAGUGCAUUAAAACAAUGAGUGUACAGAUAAUUACAAUCAGUUCAAUCACCAUUCUAAAUUAAUGUGUGUCUUUUACUGUAGCACACACGUACAGUCAGAACACUAGAUCUAAUGAUCUGUAACCAAACAAACUCAUGAAAAUUAACUUUGUUCUACCCUUCCAGUCAAAUUGUACUCCACAAACAUUAAAGGGUUAGUUCACCCAAAAAUGUAAAUUCUGUCAUUAAUUACUCACCCUCAUGUCGUUCCAAACCCAUUAUACCUUUCUUCAUCUUCAAAACACAAAUGAAGAUAUUUUUGAUGAAAUCUGAGAACUUUCUAACCCCUCUAUAGGCAGCAACACAACUUACACAUUCAAGUUCCAGAACAGUAGAAAAGACAUUGUGAAAGUAAUCAUGUGACUCCAGAGGUUCAACCUCAGUUUUGUCUUCUGUUGCAUGAACACAACACUCAUGCGUUGUGAUGCUCUCGUGAAUGCACAUUACAGAUCAAUAUUUUUUGCAAAUAAG